AUACGGAGGGAGCAAGCGUUAUUCGGAAUCACUGGGCGUAAAGGACGCGUAGGCGGGUUUGUAAGUCAGGUGUGAAAUCCUACAGCUCAACUGUAGAACUGCACUUGAAACUACAGACCUAGAGUAUGGAAGGGGCAGAUGGAAUUAGUGGUGUAGGGGUAAAAUCCGUAGAUAUCACUAGGAAUACCGAAAGCGAAGGCGAUCUGCUGGGACAUUACUGACGCUGAGGCGUGAAAGCGUGGGGAGCAAACAGAAUUAGAUACCCUAGUAGUCC
rnacentral:rRNA from 1 species